rnacentral:rRNA from 1 species
AGCACGAGGUAGCAAUACUUUGGUGGCGACCGGCAGACGGGUGAGUAACGCGUAUGUAACCUACCCUGUACUGGGGGAUAACCCGGAGAAAUUCGGACUAAUACCCCAUAGAGAUAUAGAGAGGCAUCUUGAAAUAUUUAAAGUUUCGACGGUACGGGAUGGGCAUGCGUAACAUUAGCUAGUUGGUAAGGUAACGGCUUACCAAGGCUUUGAUGUUUAGGGGUCCUGAGAGGGUGAUCCCCCACACUGGUACUGAGACACGGACCAGACUCCUACGGGAGGCAGCAGUGAGGAAUAUUGGUCAAUGGGCGAAAGCCUGAACCAGCCAUCCCGCGUGCAGGAAGACGGCCCUAUGGGUUGUAAACUGCUUUUCCAGGAGGAGAAACUCUCGUACGUGAUACGGGAUUGACGGUACCCUGGGAAUAAGCAUCGGCUAACUCCGUGCCAGCAGCCGCGGUAAUACGGAGGAUGCAAGCGUUAUCCGGAUUCAUUGGGUUUAAAGGGUGCGUAGGCGGACUAUUAAGUCAGUGGUGAAAUCCUGCAGCUUAACUGCAGAACUGCCGUUGAUACUGAUAGUCUUGAGUUUGGUUAAGGUAGGCGGAAUGUGUAAUGUAGCGGUGAAAUGCUUAGAUAUUACACAGAACACCGAUUGCGUAGGCAGCUUACUGAGCCGACACUGACGCUGAGGCACGAAAGCGUGGGGAUCGAACAGGAUUAGAUACCCUGGUAGUCCACGCCGUAAACGAUGAUUACUCGCUGUUGGCGAUACACUGUCAGCGGCUAAGCAAAAGC